CCUGCCCCCAGCACCACUCCAGUUUCUGCCAGACUGAUGGAAGUCUCCAAACGAAAAUCUGCGCAGUCCUUCCAAGAAGCAGGGUUCUGCUUGAUGUUGUCGGAAAGCUGCCAAGGCAAAAGACUGGAGAACUGUGAACACUCUCGCCCCGGGGAUCGCCUUUUCUUUGUAAUGGAAACACUUCCAGUUUGUGAGAACAUUGUUUCAUUAAAGAUCAGCAAGGACAGAGAAGCUUCCAGAGACUAUAUUCACUGAAGUGGUGCUCACUUCUCACCCAUGUUGAGCUUGGAACAGGAAGGCUGGCAUGAUCAUUCGCUUCACAUCAGAGGUUGUUGAACUGCCAGUGUGCUGAUACCACGCAGAAAUUUCCAAGUUUAAAGCAACGCUCCCUGGACUCAUGACAUGUCCCUGGAGAAAGCUACUUCAUCGUUCUUCAGACAAAAAAAAAAAAAAUUGAUUCCCUUCAGUAUCCUCCAGUUUCAUUACGACCAGAUAGAACUUUAUGUUCAUUCAGAUCGCUUCCAUGCCUGAAUUCUUGGUCAUCUUCCUGUCUUCUAGUUCCAUAAAUAAAGAUAUAAUAAUACUAAAUAAAUAAAGUUGUUUGAGUCUCGGUGAA